GUUAGACGCGGUAGCAGCGCCUUGGAUGUUUUGUUUUUGUUUUUUGGAGGGGGGGAGGGGCGGUGUUUACGGUCGUGUGUUUAUGUUCUACCAGGAAGGCCCCAGUCCUGGCCCACAUCUGUGCAAAUCGUGAAUUCGGAGAGUUCCCUUUCCCUGGAGAAUCAAGACUGUGCUCACUGGGGGCCCAUCGCAGGCGCCUUUUCUUCCUUUGAGCGUGCUAAAGUACAAUUGUCCUUUCCUAUAUGUUGCCUGCUUCCAAUCUGCUGAAAUUCCUGGCCAAGAUACAGCAUCUUCUGAGAUAUCCCCUUAAAUAAAGGCAAACUGAUGACUAGAACAAAUUCAUCACCUACUUUAUGCUGUAUAGACUUUACUACAGACAUAAAUAUUAGUAAGAGCCAAAAAUCAUUUGCACUGAGGAAAUGCACCACUAACAUUUUUAUAAAUACAGAACAUGAGAAUCUAA